GACGAACGCUGGCGGCGCGCCUAACACAUGCAAGUCGAACGAGCGAGAGGAGGUUUACUUUCUCAAGCGAGUGGCGAACGGGUGAGUAACGCGUGAGGAACCUGCCUCAAAGAGGGGGACAACAGUUGGAAACGACUGCUAAUACCGCAUAAGCCCACGACCCGGCAUCGGGUAGAGGGAAAAGGAGCAAUCCGCUUUGAGAUGGCCUCGCGUCCGAUUAGCUAGUUGGUGAGGUAAUGGCCCACCAAGGCGACGAGCGGUAGCCGGACUGAGAGGUUGAUCAGUCAGACUGGAACUGAGACACGGGGCAGACUGCGACGGGGGGGAGCAGGGGGGAAUAUUGGACAAGGGGCGAAAGCCUGAGGCAGCAAUGGGGCGUGGGUGAAGAAGGUCUUCGGAUUGUAAAGCACUUUAAGUGGGGAGGAAGGGGAGUAAGUGAAUACCUUGCUGGUUUGACGUUACCAACAGAAUAAGCAACGGCUAACUUCGUG
rnacentral:rRNA from 1 species